rnacentral:rRNA from 1 species
GUCCGACCUGCCCAGUGAAAUUUUUUUAACGGCCGCGGUAUCCUAACCGUGCAAAGGUAGCGCAAUCACUUGCCCCUUAAAUGAGGGCUAGUAUGAAUGGUUUAAUGAGGGUCUAACUGUCUCCUGAAGCUGAUCAAUGAACUUGAUAACUCAGUACAAACGCUGAGAUAUAAACAUAAGACGAGAAGACCCUGUGGAACUUCAAAUUUUACUGUUGAACACCUAAACACAAAGGUACCCUCAACAUAGAAUUUAAGUUGGGGCAACUACGGGGUAAAACAAAACCCCCAUGAAAAAUAACUAAUAGUUAUACCACUCAGGCCCACACGCCACAUAUCCUUGCUUCGACCCAGUUCAAACUGAUCACCGAACCAAGCUACCCCAGGGAUAACAGCGCUAUCCCCUUUAAGAGUCCCUAUCGACAAGGGGGUUUACGACCUCGAUGUUGGAUCAGGACACCCCGGCGGUGCAGCCGCUGCCAAGGGUUCGUUGUCAACGAAU